CGCCUGUUUAUCAAAAACAUCUUUUCUUGUUAGUUUUUGAAGUAUGGCCUGCCCGCUGACAUUUGGUGUUGAAGGGCCGCGGUAUUUUGACCGUGCAAAGGUAGCAUAAUCAUUAGUUCUUUAAUUGUGAUCUGGAAUGAAUGGCUUGACGAGGCACGGGCUGUCUUAGUGUUGAAUGUUUUAUUGAAUUUGGUCUUUGAGUUAAAAUUCUUAGAUGUUUUUGUGGGACGAGAAGACCCUAUAGAGUUUGACAUUUGGUUUAUUUACUUGUUUGUUGUUUGUUUAUUUUUGGUGAGUGGGCUUUUUGUUUUGUUGGGGUGAUGGGAGGAAUGUACUUAACUCCUCUUAGUUUUGGUUAUAUUGAUUUAUAAUUGUUUGAUCCAUUUAUUUUGAUUAUAAGACUAAAUUACCUUAGGGAUAACAGCGUAA
rnacentral:rRNA from 1 species